rfam:Myotis brandtii contig301008, whole genome shotgun sequence.
GCCCGUGUGGCUCAGUGGAUACAGCGUCAGCCUGGAGACUGAAGGGCCCCGGGUUCGAUUCCCGGUCAAGAGCA